UGACUGGUGUUUACCAGACAGGCGAGUAAGACAGUGUGACUGGUAUGUACUGUACUGGUGAGUUAGACAGUGUGCCUGGUGUGUACCAGACAGGUGAGUUAGACAGUAUGACUGGUGUGUACCAGACAGGCGAGUAAGACAGUGUGACUGGUGUGUACUGGACAGGGGAGUUAGACAGUGUGACAGGUGUGUACUGGACAGGUGAGUUAGCCAGUGUGAUGUGUGUGUACUGGACAGGUGAGUUAGACAGUGUGACUGGUAUGUACUGGACAGGUGAGUAAGACAGUGUGACUGGUGUGUACUGGACAGGUGAGUUAGACAGUGUGACAGGUGUGUACUGGACAGGUGAGUUAGACAGUGUGACUGGUCUGUACUGGACAGGUGAGUAAGACAGUGUGACUGGGGUGUACUGGACAGGUGAGUUAGACAGUGUGAUGUGUGUGUACUGGACAGGUGAGUUACACAGUGUGACUGGUGUGUACUGGACAGGUGAGUAAGACAGUGUGACUUGUGUGUACUGGACAGGUGAGUUAGACAGUGUGACUGGUAUGUACUGGACAGGUGAGUAAGACAGUGUGACUGGUGUGUACUGGACAGGCGAGUUAGACAGUGUGACUGGUAUGUACUGGACAGGUGAGUAAGACAGUGUGACUGGUGUGUACUGUACAGGUGAGUUAGACAGUGUGACUGGUGUGUACUUGACAAGUGAGUUAGACAGUAUGACUGGUGUGUACUGGACAGGUGAAUUAAACAGUGUGACUGGUGUGUACUGGACAGGUGUGUUACACAGUGUGACUGGUGUGUACUGGACAGGCGAGUUAGACAGUGUGACUGGUAUGUACUGGACAGGUGAGUUAGACAGUGUGACUGGUCUGUACUGGACAGGUGAGUAAGACAGUGUGACUUGUGUGUACUGGACAGGUGAGUUAGACAGUGUGACUGGUGUGUACUUGACAAGUGAGUUAGACAGUAUGACUGGUGUGUACUGGACAGGUGAGUUAAACAGUGUGACUGGUGUGUACUGGACAGGUGAGUUAGACAGUGUGACUGGUGUGUACUGGACAGGUGAGUAAGACAGUGUGACUGGUGUGUACUGAACAGGCGAGUUGGACAGUGUGACUGGUGUGUACUGCACUGGUGAGUUAGACAAUGUGACUGGUGUGUACUGGACAGGUGUGUUACACAGUGUGACUGGUGUGUACUGGACAGACGAGUUAGACAGUGUGACUUGUAUGUACUGGACAGGUGAGUUACACCGUGUGACUGGUGUGUACUGUACUGGUGAGUUAGACAGUGUGACUGGUGUGUACUGGACAGGUGAGUAAGACAGUGUGACUAGUAUGUACUGUACUUGUGAGUAAGACAGUGUGACUGGUAUGUACUGUACUUGUGAGUAAGACAGUGUGACUGGUGUGUACUGGACAGGUGAGUUAGACAGUGUGACAGGUAUGUACUGGACAGGUGAGUUACGCAGUGUGACUGGUGUGUACUGGACAGGUGAGUAAGACAGUGUGACUAGUAUGUACUGUACUGGUGAGUAAGACAGUGUGACUGGUGUGUACUGUACUGGUGAGUUAGACAGUGUGACUGGUAUGUACUGUACUGGUGAGUUCCACAGUGUGACUGGUGUGUACCAGACAGGCGAGUAAGACAGGGUGACUGGUGUGUACUGGACAGGUGAGUAAGACAGUGUGACUGGUGUGUACUGAACAGGGGAGUUGGACAGUGUGACUGGUGUGUACUGCACAGGUGAGUUACACAGUGUGACUGGUGUGUACUGUAGUGGUGAGUUAGAAAAUGUGACUGGUGUGUACUGGACAGGUGUGUUACACAGUGUGACUGGUGUGUACUGGACAGGCGAGUUAGACAGUGUGACUUGUGUGUACUUGACAGGUGAGUUACAUCGUGUGACUGGUGUGUACUGUACUGGUGAGUUAGACAGUGUGACUGGUGUGUACUGGACAGGUGAGUUACACAGUGUGACUGUGUGUACUG